AAUAAAUUAAUAUAAAUAACGAAAUUAUAAAUACUGCACGUGAACGAGUUGGUUAUCAUAUUUUAGAAUAAGAAUAUGGGUUGUGAAAUGUGUUCCAGCACGUUUUUCGCGCCAAAUUCGCAUUUCAUAUGAAUGAUUGGCGGCGAAAAGCCUUACCACAUGGAGACCUAGGAUGUGUCAGGCGAUAGCAGGAUGUGGCAGGAGUCAUAAUUUUUGUUGCAAAUUAAUUACAUUGCCCUUGCCGCCGUUUAAUAAAAUAAAUCAUACAUAUGUGUUCCGAUGCUCCGGGACAUACAACACAAGCAAAAGGGCAUCGUUGGAAAAAUGUAGAACAUUUUAGAAAAUAUCCUCAAAGUCAUCAGAACGAUAAUAAAUAUGCUAGUUCUUGUAAACACGACGGCAGCGACCCGUUUUCGUAGUUACAUAUGGCUCACAUUUCUCAACAAAAAGAAACCACUAACAGUAAAUUUUCGAGUUUCAGGGCGAUAAUUUAUUAUAGUCUACGGAUUAAUUUAUGAAACUAGCAAAUCAAUGUGAUUCAUAUUAAAAGGGGAAGUGAGAGCAGA